rnacentral:rRNA from 1 species
AAUCAACGCUGGCGGCGUGCCUAACACAUGCAAGUCGAACGCGAAAGCCCGCAAGGGUAAGUAGAGUGGCGCACGGGUGAGUAACACGUGGACAACCUGCCUUCGAGUGGGGAAUAACCUUCCGAAAGGAGGGCUAAUACCGCAUAACACCUCGGGACACAAGUUCUGGGGUUGAAAAGAGCAAUUUGCUCGAAGAGGGGUCCGCGUCUGAUUAGCUAGUUGGUGAGGUAACGGCUCACCAAGGCUUCGAUCAGUAGCCGUCCUGAGAGGGAGCACGGCCACACUGGAACUGAGACACGGUCCAGACUCCUACGGGAGGCAGCAGUGGGGAAUUUUGGCAAUGGGCGAAGGCCUGACCAAGCAACGCCGCGUGGGUGAUGAAGUAUCUUGGUACGUAAAACCCUUUCGGCAGGGACGAACCUAAUGACGGUACCUGCGGAAGAAGCCCCGGCUAACUCCGUGCCAGCAGCCGCAGUAAC